rnacentral:rRNA from 1 species
UAAGGAAUAUUGGACAAUGGUCGCAAGACUGAUCCAGCCAUGCCGCGUGCAGGAAGACGGCCCUAUGGGUUGUAAACUGCUUUUGUACCAGAGAAAACCUAUCUACGUGUAGAUAGCUGAUAGUAUGGUAAGAAUAAGCAUCGGCUAACUUCAUGCCAGCAGCCGCGGUAAGACGAAGGAUGCAAGCGUUAUCCGGAUUCAUUGGGUUUAAAGGGUGCGUAGGCGGGCUUGUAAGUCAGUGGUGAAAUCUCUCAGCUUAACUGAGAAACUGCCAUUGAUACUGCAGGCCUAGAGUAUAGAUGACGUUGGCGGAAUAUGACAUGUAGUGGUGAAAUACUUAGAUAUGUCAUAGAACACCGAUUGCGAAGGCAGCUAACGAAACUAUAACUGACGCUGAGGCACGAAAGUGCGGGGAUCAAACA